rnacentral:rRNA from 1 species
GACGAACGCUGGCGGCGUGCUUAACACAUGCCAGUCGAACGGAAAGGCCUGCUUUCCCUUGUGGAUUGCGGGUACUCGAGUGGCGAACGGGUGAGUAACACGUGAGUGAUCUGCCCCCAACUUGGGUAUAAGCCUGGGAAACUGGGUCUAAUUCCCGAUAGGACUGCAGGGUGGUGCCUGUGGUGGAAAACGAUUUUCUAGUGGUUGGGGAUGAGCUCGCGGCCUAUCAGCUUGUUGGUGGGGUAAUGGCCUACCAAGGCGGCGACGGGUAGCCGGCCUGGGAGGGUGGACGGCCACAUUGGGACUGAGAUACGGCCCAGACUCCUACGGGAGGCAGCAGUGGGGAAUAUUGCACAAUGGGCGGAAGCCUGAUGCAGCGACGCCGCGUGGGGGAUGACGGCCUUCGGGUGGUAAACUCCUUUCGACCGCGAGGAAGCCACCUGGUUGGAAGGGUGGUGACGGUAGUGGUAGAAGAAGCACCGGCUAACUACGUG